rnacentral:misc_RNA from 1 species
AACGCAUAUUGCGCUCUCUGGUAUUCCGGAGAGCAUGCCUGUUUGAGGGUAAUAAAAAAGAAUCUUUGACUUUCGAGUCGAGGGAAAUGGGUAUUCCGCAUUUUUAGCGGUAGCCUGAAAUGUAUGGUUGGUCUCAUCUAGUCGAGAUGCGUAAUAAUAAUUAUUUCGUAAAAUCUUUGAUGUGACGAGCUACCAAGUCUUGACGUGUACGCUUUAUUGUUGUAUGCGAUCAAUACAAAUAUUUUUGACAUUACCUCAAAUCAGGUAGGAAUACCCGCUGAACUUAA